rnacentral:rRNA from 1 species
UAACGCGUGGGCAACCUGCCCCAUAGAGGGGGACAACAGCUGGAAACGGCUGCUAAUACCGCAUAACAAGGAGAGAGCGCAUGUUCUUUCUUCAAAGAUUUAUCGCUAUGGGAUGGACCCGCGUCUGAUUAGCUAGUUGGUGAGGUAACGGCUCACCAAGGCGACGAUCAGUAGCCGGCUUGAGAGAGUGAACGGCCACAUUGGGACUGAGACACGGCCCAGACUCCUACGGAAGGCAGCAG